rnacentral:rRNA from 1 species
GAUGAACGCUGGCGGCGUGCCUAAUACAUGCAAGUAGAACGCUGAAGGAAGGAGCUUGCUCUUUCCGGAUGAGUUGCGAACGGGUGAGUAACGCGUAGGUAACCUGCCUGGUAGCGGGGGAUAACUAUUGGAAACGAUAGCUAAUACCGCAUAACAGUAGAUGUUGCAUGAUAUCUACUUAAAAGGUGCAAUUGCACCACUACCAGAUGGACCUGCGUUGUAUUAGCUAGUUGGUGAGGUAACGGCUCACCAAGGCGACGAUACAUAGCCGACCUGAGAGGGUGAUCGGCCACACUGGGACUGAGACACGGCCCAGACUCCUACGGGAUGCAGCAGUAGGGAAUCUUCGGCAAUGGACGGAAGUCUGACCGAGCAACGCCGCGUGAGUGAAGAAGGUUUUCGGAUCGUAAAGCUCUGUUGUAAGAGAAGAACGAGUGUGAGAGUGGAAAGUUCACACUGUGACGGUAUCUUACCAGAAAGGGACGGCUAACUACGUG